rnacentral:rRNA from 1 species
AGAGCGAACGCUGGCGGCAGGCCUAACACAUGCAAGUCGAGCGCCCGUAGCAAUACGGGAGCGGCAGACGGGAUAGUAACACGUGGGAACGCGCCCUUCGGUUCGGAAUAACUCAGGGAAACUUGAGCUAAUACCGGAUACGCCCUUACGGGGAAAGAUUUAUUGCCGAAGGAACGGCCCGCGUCCGAUUAGCUAGUUGGUGAGGUAAUGGCUCACCAAGGCGACGAUCGAUAGCUGGUCUGAGAGGAUGAUCAGCCACAUUGGGACUGAGACACGGCCCAAACUCCUACGGGAGGCAGCAGUGGGGAAUAUUGGACAAUGGGCGCAAGCCUGAUCCAGCCAUGCCGCGUGAGUGAUGACGGCCUUAGGGUUGUAAAGCUCUUUCGCUAGGGACGAUAAUGACGGUACCUAGACAAGAAGCCCCGGCUAACUUCGUGCCAGCAGCCGC